GGCAGGGUAGUCUAGCGGUCAGGGUGUUCGACUCCCAGCCGAAGGGUUCUGGGUUCGAACCCCCAAUGUCUGCUGUCUA